UGUUCCUACGGGAGGCAGCAGUGAGGAAUAUUGGUCAAUGGGCGGAAGCCUGAACCAGCCAAGUCGCGUGAAGGAAGAAGGCUUUCGGGUUGUAAACUUCUUUUAUCAGGGACGAAGCAAGUGACGGUACCUGAUGAAUAAGCCACGGCUAACUACGUGCCAGCAGCCGCGGUAAUACGUAGGUGGCAAGCGUUAUCCGGAUUUACUGGGUGUAAAGGGCGUGUAGGCGGGAGUGCAAGUCAGAUGUGAAAACUAUGGGCUCAACCCAUAGCCUGCAUUUGAAACUGUACUUCUUGAGUGCUGGA
rnacentral:rRNA from 1 species